GAGUUUGAUCCUGGCUCAGAUUGAACGCUGGCGGCAUGGCUAAAACAUGCAAGUUGAACGACCUCUUCGGAGGGAGUAGCGAAAGGGCGAGGAAUAUAAUCGAAUGUACCCCAAGGUAAAGGAUAGCUUCUGGAAACGGAAGGUAAUACUUUAUGUGCUCUACGGAGGAAAGGUUUACCGCCUUGGGAGCGGCGAUUAUCCUAUCAGGUAGUUGGUGAGGUAAAGGCUCACCAAGCCGAAGACGGGUAGCGGGUGUGAGAGCAUGACCCGCCGCAUCGGGACUGAGACACUGCCCGGACUCCUACGGGAGGCUGCAGUAACGAAUCUUCCGCAAUGGGCGAAAGCCUGACGGAGCAAUGCCGCGUGUAGGAUUAAGCAUCUUCGAUGUGUAAACUACUGUCAAUGUCUAGAAACAAUGAUCAGACAUAAAGGAAGGACCGGCUAAUUCAGUGCCAGCAGCCGCGGUAAUA
rnacentral:rRNA from 1 species